rnacentral:RNase_P_RNA from 1 species
GGGACGGGCAACGCUCCUAACGUGGCCCAUCUCUCCGAGAUGCGCCACGCUCGUAACGUGAUCCAUCCCUUCGGGAUGCAUCACGCCCGCGAGGAAAGUCCCCCCACCUGUUCGGGCAGGUGACCGGACGCAAGUCCGGAGCGGGAGACCGCUGGCUCUGGAACAGAAACGACACGUCUCGGCCCGACCGAUGAUGCGCGCGAACCCGACCGAGAGGAAGGGGAGUUGACCCGCAGAGGAUUGCGGUCGCGAAAUCGUGGUUCGAAUCCACAGAUCGCGCUCGUCGCGAUCGACCGCACACGGACGGCCGAGGAUCGAUGGAACGGCGAACCCUCACCGGUGCAAGUCCGCGCCGUGGUAGCCCGAACGCCCCGCGGCGCCGCCGCGGACGGCGCGGACGCUCAGCCGAAUGCCGGGACGAACAGAAGGGGGCUUACUCCUCUCACCC